rnacentral:misc_RNA from 1 species
GAACACAGAGGAUCAAUUAUCAAAGACCAGGAACUGUAAAGGGUUCUGUUUCCUCGUGAGAGGGGCUUGGGGAACCGAGUUUGGCGUUGUUAUAAGAAAUCAACAGGGUUUGGUUUGGCAUUUUUCGAAGUGGUUGGCCGAACUCUGAUGGGAAUGGCAACGGAUGAUCCAUUUGACGUAUCACUAUUAACAAGUGAUAAGGUCUGUUGAGUGCAAUCGUAGAGCAAAUGGUAACACAUUUGAA